UCAACAGCCUGCCGCAGGCUUCGGAUCCUGUGGAUACUUAUAGUAUGGGGGUGGGCAACAAGGAACAGUGGCCAUCAGGUACCCUUCCUGCCCCAUCGUCACAUGUGCUGAAUUGGGUGUGCACACUCCAGGCCUCAGGGCUCACAGCACCCGCUUUUUGGCUUCAGGCAGUGUCGGGCAGAGGCCUUGGUUUGCCCCUCACAGCACCACUGCAGCCUGCCUGCAUACGUCUGCAGCUUUACAGCCACACACAUCCGGGCCUGCUCCCCUCACACUCAGUUUUACCAAGACACGCCACAGACUUAGAGGUCGAUUGAUCAUCGCCCCUACUGUGUAACUCGUGGAGGACCAUGAAGAGUGUUAGAAGAUGCAUGGCUGAAUGUGGCCUCCCUCCAGGAACUGCCUGGGAAGUGACAUUGCAAAGGAACAGGUAGACAUGCGAGACUUAGAUGGCCUCUUGUUAGG